rnacentral:ncRNA from 1 species
UGAUAGCUAUGAUACCGGAGGUUGCUGCCCGUUGUGGCAGGUUUUCCGAGGAGCGAAUGUCAAGUUAGGAAACUGGCGACAA